rnacentral:Y_RNA from 1 species
GGCUGGUCCGAGUGCGGUGGCGUUUACAACUAAUGGAUCACAACCAGUUACAGAUUUCUUUGUUCCUUCUCCACUCCCACUGCUUCACUUGACUAGCCUUUA